GAGGGCAGAGCUCAGUGGUGGAGCACAUGCUUAGCAUGCACAAGGUCCUGGGUUCAAUCCCCAGUACCUCUC
rnacentral:tRNA from 1 species